AUUGAACGCUAGCGGGAUGCUUUACACAUGCAAGUCGAACGAGUGGCGGACGGGUGAGUAAUAUAUCGGAACGUGCCCAGUAGCGGGGGAUAACUACUCGAAAGAGUGGCUAUUACCGCCUCCAAUUGACUCGGCCGUUAUCGGAUUAGCUAGUUGGUGGUGUAAAGGCUAACCAAGGCAACGAUCCGUAGCUGGUUUGAGAGGCGGACCAGCCACACUGGGACUGAGACACGGCCCAGACUCCGACGGGAGGCAGCAGUGGGGAAUUUUGGACAAUGGGGGAAACCCUGAUCCAGCCAUCCCGCGUGUAUGAGAAGGCCUUCGGGUUGUAAAGUACUUUUGGCAGAGAAGCGGUAUCUGCAGAAUAAGCACCGGCUAACUACGUGCCAGCAGCCGCGGUAAUAC
rnacentral:rRNA from 1 species